UGUAAACAGAAAGUGAUGAACAGAAAUGGCAAUCAGUGUGGAAUGAGUCUCUGAGGUGGUCGGAUUUAGCAGUACUUUGGAAGCUCACCUUACCCAACCGGCUGAACUGACAAGCAGGCAAUGACCAUCGAUUCUCAGUGGGCGAUGCUGAGGUUGGUCUCUGUGUCCCAGCUGGGUUUCCGAGUCCUAAGCAACCACAAAGCCUAGACUACUUUGGUAUGCCAGCAGGCAGCAAAAGGUAGAGCAACUGUCAGCCUCCUGCCUGACCAGCAGUCUCCAGAGCCUGACCCCCCAAGGGGCUUGCACAUUGCCCUCAUCCUGAGACGCUGACUCUACUGGCUCCUUGACUGAAUGGCCACUUCCUCUUCAUUCAGGACUCACUCUAAAUGCCAGGUGGCUUUGCCCAGAAAUUCCCGUGCUUGGGUUUGAUCCUACAUAUGAUCUUACAUGUGUACAUACAUAGGCAAACAUAUGUACAUCCCAUGGUGCUCACCAAAACGGCUUGGCAGAG
rnacentral:lncRNA from 1 species